GGAAGAGUGGUGUCUAUUGGACCAUUCUCAGAAAGAGCUAUUCAGGGAGGUGAUGUUGGAGAAUAUGCAGAAUCUACUUUCUUUGGGCUUUCAAGUUCCUAGAGAAGAUCUUAUCUCCUAUUUUCAGCAAGGGGAAUCACCAUGGCUGCUAGAGCAGAAAGUCCCAAGGAGCUCCUGCCCAGAGGCAGAAAUCAAUUUUGAAGUGAAGGAAAUGUCUACAAAGCGGAGCCUUUUUGUGGAAGGAUCUGGCACACAAAGAUGCCUGAAUGAGGACCUUUCUGACUUCAUUUUGAGAGAAAUCUGUGACUCUAAUAUCCAGGGAAAUAAAAAUCUAAAGAGUAAUUGUGAAUUUGAUGAAACUGCAGAGAAAUUCAGCCAAUAUUUGAUGCUAAAUCAGUAUAUAAAAAUUACCUCAGGAAAUAAUUGUUGUCAGGAUAGUGAAUGCAGCAAAUGUUUUCCUGAAGAAGUAGGACUUGUUCAAUCACAUGAGAAACCUCCUGAAAUGCCCAUGUAUCAAGAGAACCUAGGGAGAAUGGCCUUUGGCUGGAUCUUAGACCUUA